CUGCUUACUCUUUUGCCCUUUGGAAGUCACUCCCUGCCUCUCAAGCAGCAUGCCUUCCUGCACUGUCUGCCUUCUUUCUGAAGGUCGCUGGCAGCUCAAGGGCUAAAGCAACCCAGUUGUGAAAGCACAAAGAGAACAGAUGGCAGUCAACACGUCAUCUGAAAGCCACAGCCCAGCUCUGCGUGGGACACCCUCCAUCUCAGGUCAGCACACACGACAGAUUCAUUUUAAUAGGAGGUGCUGAGGAUCAUACAGGACAGAGGACUCACACCCAAGACACGGACCAGGCCAACUGUCAGCUUACUUCCCUGAGGCCUUUGAAAGAGUGACCAGAGCAUUAAAAAUGAUGGUGUAGCAAGAUGAUGGAAGCACGAAUACCGGCAGCCACUGCAGGCAGCUCAGAAUCGCCAGGAAUGCCAACAUGUCCACAGUGCCUGCACUUACACACAUGUACCCACGCAUAAACAGUUAAAAUAAAAAACUAACAUAUACAUCCAUGUACAGACUAGGGUUUCAAUAAUUGAUUUAAAAAAAAACUAACUAUAUAAAUCUAAGUACAGACUAUGAC